rnacentral:rRNA from 1 species
UGGGGAAUUUUGGACAAUGGGCGAAAGCCUGAUCCAGCAAUGCCGCGUGUGUGAAGAAGGCCUUCGGGUUGUAAAGCACUUUUGUCCGGAAAGAAAUCCUUGGCUCUAAUACAGUCGGGGGAUGACGGUACCGGAAGAAUAAGCACCGGCUAACUACGUGCCAGCAGCCGCGGUAAUACGUAGGGUGCAAGCGUUAAUCGGAAUUACUGGGCGUAAAGCGUGCGCAGGCGGUUUGCUAAGACCGAUGUGAAAUCCCCGGGCUCAACCUGGGAACUGCAUUGGUGACUGGCAGGCUAGAGUAUGGCAGAGGGGGGUAGAAUUCCACGUGUAGCAGUGAAAUGCGUAGAGAUGUGGAGGAAUACCGAUGGCGAAGGCAGCCCCCUGGGCCAAUACUGACGCUCAUGCACGAAAGCGUGGGGAGCAAACAGGAUUAGAUACCCUGGUAGUCCACGCCCUAAACGAUGUCAACUAGUUGUUGGGGGAUUCAUUUCCUUAGUAACGUAGCUAACGCGUGAAGUUGACCGCCUGGGGAGUACGGUCGCAAGAUUAAAACUCAAAUGAAUUGACGGGGUC